UACGUAGGGUGCGAGCGUUUAAUCGGAAUUACUGGGCGUAAAGCGUGCGCAGGCGGUUUUGUAAGCCAGAUGUGAAAUCCCCGGGCUUAACCUGGGAAUGGCAUUUGGGACUGCAAGGCUGGAGUUUGGCAGAGGAGACUGGAAUUCCUGGUGUAGCAGUGAAAUGCGUAGAUAUCAGGAGGAACACCGAUGGCGAAGGCAGGUCUCUGGGCUGAAACUGACGCUCAUGCACGAAAGCGUGGGGAGCAAACAGG
rnacentral:rRNA from 1 species